AUUGAACGCUGGCGGCAGGCCUAACACAUGCAAGUCGAACGGUAACAGGAAGAAGCUUGCUUCUUUGCUGAUGAGUGGCGGACGGGUGAGUAAUGUCUGGGAAACUGCCUGAUGGAGGGGGAUAACUACUGGAAACGGUAGCUAAUACCGCAUAACGUCGCAAGACCAAAAAGGGGGACCUUCGGGCCUCUUGCCAUCGGAUGUGCCCAGAUGGGAUUAGCUAGUAGGGGGGGUAACGGCUCACCUAGGCGACGAUCCCUAGCUGGUCUGAGAGGAUGACCAGCCACACUGGAACUGAGACACGGUCCAGACUCCUACGGGAGGCAGCAGUGGGGAAUAUUGCACAAUGGGCGCAAGCCUGAUGCAGCCAUGCCGCGUGUAUGAAGAAGGCCUUCGGGUUGUAAAGUACUUUCAGCGGGGAGGAAGGGAGUAAAGUUAAUACCUUUGCUCAUUGACGUUACCCGCAGAAGAAGCACCGGCUAACUCCGUG
rnacentral:rRNA from 1 species